AUUUCCAAUUAAAAGUAGAUCUCGAGAGUGUUGGACUAAAAUUGAGAUUAGUGAACAAGUUGAAUGGUUAAGCACUUUCUGAAAAGUCACAUGGCAUAGUAACAUAAUUCUUUUGAGGAAGGUUUUGCAACAAAAAUUUUAAAGCCAUAGUAGUGUUAUAUGCAAUAUGUUUUUUCAGAGGACUAAUGAGCAUAACAAAUUUGUGCUGGGUUCAUUUGGAGUUUUUGGAGUUUUGGGAUCAACCUUUUAUGAUAUGAUGGAGAACCUUUGGGUUCUCUUUGAAUGGUGAACACCCUGUCCCAGUAUAUACUAGGUUGGGAUGGUUUUCUGGUAAUGAUUUUACAUGGACCUAAAAUAAAUGAUCAAGCAGAUCUUGUGGUGACGGUUUACUUUUUUUACUAUGCAUUUUGCCUAACUACUCUUUUAUUUGCUUUAUUUUACACACUUUGAAUUAUCUAUUGAUAAGUAAUCCUACAAUGAAGAACCCCUACCUUUUGAUUUGCUUCAUUAUUAUUUGCUGGACUCAUCAACUGGUAAUGAUUUGAUGCAGGAUAAAAAAGCAUUUUGUGGUGGUGAUGAUUAUUCAUAAAGUAAAGCAGGAUGGCUACGCUGAUUUGAAACUUCUUCAUCGCCUCAUUAUUUUAGAUACAGAACUACUCAUCAAUUAUCAUUGUUCACCUCGAGGUCAUUGAUGGAAGGCCUGGAACAAGGUCAGUCGAGUCAUUCGUGGUGGAUGUUCCAGAUGGGAAUACAAAGGAUGAAACAUGUUACUUCGUCGAUGUCCUCAUCCGGUGUAACCUCAAAUCACUAGCUGAUGUGCUUCCUUUUUCAUUGUCUGCAAGGCACCUCAGUUUGUAAAAUGCAACUGGCUAUUUCAUAAUGUGAAGAAUCAACCAUGCUAUUUGUGGCUGUGUGAAUGUAUCGAGCUUAGGUUGCAAAUAUCUAUGCUCAUUAUUGUGAUUAUGACACUAUAAGCUUGUGUAUCCUUAAAUUUGGUGCGUUAAUGAGUACUAGAAACAGUAUUGGUAAAUUAAAAAUAGUGUGCCUUGCUUUUUGUUGUAUAUUUCACUAUCCCUAUUCUUUCUGGAUAUUGUAUUAUCUCCUCUGCAUCACACUCUAUCUAUGUAACUUCCCUUUGGCAUAAUUUCUUCUUAAGAAAUCAUGCAGUGCUUGAACACCAAAAGAAAAAACCUUAAAAGAGACACCUAAAGGUGUGGUAUAGCGGUCAAUGAAGAUGAUUAAGAAUCGCGGGAGAUCAGGAUUUCAGAAGAGGCAAAAAUUAUUAAGUGAUUUUUUUCUAUCCAUUGAAUUACAAUUCAGUUAAUGUCCUCAAACAAAUCUCGACCACGCAUCACACGGGUAUGUAUACUAGUAAGUUAUUAAACUAACAGUGGGCUAAACAGCAUUAAACUGGCUAGGUUUCCAUUGCGAUGCUUCCAUGGAUGAGAGGAGAGGGGAAAUGGCAGCGGCGAUGUGGUAGAUUCCGGUGGCGGAGAACGGCGGUGGAUUCGGCCAUAAGAUUGUUGAAAUUAGUUUUUCUUUUUUCAUUGUUGAAAUAGUUGUCAGAAUAAAUAAUACUGUAAGAGGUUAAGCUUUGUAUUUUUAAAGAUCAAAUUAAUGCUAAACUCUAAUAAUUGGAUAAGGAA